rnacentral:rRNA from 1 species
UAAGGAAUAUUGGACAAUGGAGGCAACUCUGACGCAGCCAUGCCGCGUGCAGGAAGAAGGCGCUACGCGUUGUAAACUGCUUUUAUCCGGGAAGAAACCCCUCCACGCGUGGAGGGUUGACGGUACCGGAGGAAUAAGCACCGGCUAACUUCGUGCCAGCAGCCGCGGUAAUACGAAGGGUGCAAGCGUUAUCCGGAUUCAUUGGGUUUAAAGGGUGCGUAGGCGGGAUAGCAAGUCAGUGGUGAAAUCCCGUGGCUUAACCACGGAAUUGCCAUUGAUACUGCUGUUCUUGAGUACGCUCGACGUGGGCGGAAUGCGCCGUGUAGCGGUGAAAUGCUUAGAUAUGGCACAGAACACCGAUAGUGAAGACAGCUCACGAGGGCGAAACUGACGCUGAGGCACGAAAGCGUGGGGAUCAAACA